UGGGGAAUCUUGGACAAUGGGCGAAAGCCUGAUCCAGCGACGCCGCGUGGGUGACGAAGGCCUUCGGGUUGUAAAGCCCUUUUCCCGGGGACGAUGGUGACGGUACCCGGGGAAUAAGCACCGGCCAACUCCGUGCCAGCAGCCGCGGUAAGACGGAGGGUGCGAGCGUUGUUCGGAAUCACUGGGCGUAAAGGGCGCGUAGGCGGCCGCGCGUGUCGGGUGGGAAAGCCCGGGGCUCAACCCCGGCAC
rnacentral:rRNA from 1 species